rnacentral:lncRNA from 1 species
GUGGAGUAAAUGAAAGUAAUGGUGAAAAUAUAAGUAAUGAUAAAACUUACUUCUCAUUGCUCCUCAUAUUGCUAUCUCUCCUCCUCUUUGAUCUUUCCUUUGGGAGAACAUAGGCUAUCUCUUUUUUUUUCAGGUGGGUAGUAAAUACCCCUAAUUCUACUGUCGGACACUUGUCCAUUUUUUCUGCUCAGGUGGGCAUCUUUGUACCCCUAAUUCUACUCCGGACACUUGUCUAUUUUUACCUCUCGUCUCACUCUUUUUCUUUCUUUUUCGAGGUUUCGGGCACUUGCCCCUUUUUAUUUCCUCGCAUAUUUUUGCAUAACCCAUGCCUCUUCUGUAUUGAAUGUUUUUGGAGAGAGAGAAUAACAAUACUUGGGACAGUGAGUGACAAUAUUUUUUAGCAAUUUUAAUGAAUCGUGGUGGAUGGUGUAGUAGGUGUGUGCAAGUGAAUAUCUUAAUUUAACCACAUGAAAAGCUCCUAAGGGUCUACACAACUCGAUCAAACUCAAAGUGAAUAUAUGUAGCAAAAGAUGUUAUAGAAAAUAUGGCUAUGGUAGGUAUUUUGUCAUGCUAGGAACUCAUCAUGUGAUUUGCAAGUUUUCAAAAUAAAUCUCCAGAACUUAGUGUAGUAGGAACAAGAUAAACAGUAGCUCAAACUUUAUAUCAUGUCCUUCUCUUACCUAGACUUUAGUUUUAGGUUCAUGCUUCCCAUAGAUAGUAAAUUUUAGUUUUAGUAAUUCCUGGAAGAACUUUAAUAUAAAAGCUAGGUACUUGAAAGUAAGCAAAUAGAGUAAUUGUUCAUCAUUUUCAUCAUGCAUCUUUUUAUUCUUUUUAUUUUUCUAGAGAUUAACACUUGGCAGAUAGAUAAAGCACACUUAUCUACACACUCUUUUUAUUUUGUUUUCAUGUUUAUAGAAUGUAGAAAAUUAAAGCAAGAAAAUAUUUAUUGGGUUUUCUAAGUUUUUUAAAUAAAGCACUAAAACAGAAAAGAAUAAAUAAGAAAAGCAAAUAAAAACUUACUUGAUAAAACGGGGAGAAACUCCCCCAAGCUGGAUGUGGUUGUCAGUCUUACCCAAUGUUCCAGAAUCGCAUCAUGGUGAUGAUGUUGUCAUUCAUCGUCAUGGUGUCUUGCCUCAGUUCUUGUACCGUAGCGGUGUGGUCCUAGUUCCAUUUUUGUUGCUGUCCCAGGAGUCGUCCAUGUUUUGCUUGCGUAUUCUGGAUGUCGAGGAGGGUGUUGUCGGUACUGGUGAAGAAGGCGCUAGCCUCUUGGUAGUAGUCAUUCGUGAAAGCAUAAGAGACGUCGGAGUACCGUCCUGCAUCAAAUUGGGGCUGGGGCGUGGACCCUGAACCUCCAAACAGAUCAAUGGAGUACCUGCCUGUACGGAAAGGCGGGUUUGUCCACUGGUGAUCUUGGCCCUGCGGCCAUGUCUCCUGUGUUGGCUCUUGCGGCUGAGCAUGUCGAACCCAUGGGUCCCAAAGGACUCGGGGGUUGUAGUCGCAGUAAUGUAGGUGCGCUGCUUCCUCUAGCCCGGGAUCAGCUCCAUACCAGGUGCGUUCUUGAUGGGUGGUCAUCCUUUCGGAUGCCACUCGCUGUGGAGCUCUCUGGUUUACUGGUGCUACUGCAAUCUCAAUCAAAUAAUUUUGAACGACAUAGAGGCCAAGGUUUGGGUUAGGUAACCGAAUCUUGCCUUUACUAUCGUAUAACAUAUACAUUAUGUUCCCCUCUUUUUUCAGCAUCCGAGCUUGCCUAAAUGUGUCAUAGCCAUGAUAAAUUCGUAACUCGUCAAUGAAUUCCAAUGAUGAGUUUUCUAGCAAAUGAAGACUAGAAGCUAGACGAGUGAUGAGUGAAGUACAACCGACAGGUCCUUGAAGACUAUGUAUACUAAGCCAAUGAGAAACCAAAAGAGUAACAGGUGAAAUGGGUAUUCUAUUUAUAGCAGCAUAUAGAACUUGUAAAUCUGCUACUCUUACUUUUCUAAUAUCAUCGCGAUGGAAAAGAUUAUACCCAAGCCAUUUGUGGAACAUCCUAAGAGUGGGGUGUUCCAUGUCGCUGGUUCGGGCUUGACUAUAAAACUCAUCCCUAGAUAUCUCUCUCGAGAACUAGUGUCUCUCAAAAUUAGGCAAGUCGGAGUCAAUGUCCAGGAUGCAUCUUGAAGAGAAACCGAGAUAAUGUCCUGUUUGAACAUCCAAAAAGCGAUUCCCCCCUCAUAAUAUUGCAAAGUGCAAAGAAAUUCAAUGGUGAGAAGACGGGAACCCAGCUCAGUUAUGUCCCAUAAGUUUGUCCAUCCCACCAUCUGGAAGAACAAGUCAAAUUCAGCAUCUAUACAUGUUUCUUGUAGCAGGAUAGGAUCAAGUGUGGGGUUGUGAAUGAAAUCCUUGUUUUUUAGCUACUGGAAAACUUCCUUCUCCCUGUGGGUCUUUAGUCCAAGGUCUUGUGUCUUCAGGAGGACCUUAACUCGCGGACCAGAUGAAGAUGAUGGAGCUUGCGGGGGUGUCGGGUCGACGCUCAUCUCUGACUGGUGUAAGGAGUGUCAUGAUGAACUCCUUGUACCUAUGCUCUUCAGGGUCUUGCCCGCGUUCUUUACCUUCUUGAACAUUCUGUAGACAAAAGUUGACACAAACACAACUAGUGGAAAAUGUUAAAGGUCAGCUAUCCGAAAUAUCAGUAGUCCAGGGGUUAGUUAUCCGAAACAAGUUUUAAUUUUGGCGGCACUUUCCCCUAAACUUUUAAUUUUGCUUUGGACAGCAGGGUCACUACUUAAUAAUGAACCUUGCUCUCUUACUCCCAGGCUACCAAACUCACUUUCACUCUUCUCUUCCCCUCUACUCUCCUUCUCACUUCACUACUAGAGCUCCUCCUCUAGAAACCGAGAACUGAAGUGUGCGUGGUUUUCUGGAAUGCUUGUGUGAUGGAGAUGGAGGCAGGAGGUGGCAAUUUAUAGGAGGAAGAGGGGACAGGGCGGGCGCCCUCUGUAGGUGGGCGGGCGCCCCACUCAAGUGGCCUCCUUGGCUACCCUUUCUCUAUUCCCUCCUUUGCUUAGUCUUUACGCCAAAAAUUGAUUCAUAAGUGGUGGUUGGACGGUGGAAGUUGUCUGGUGAGUGGAGAUACGUUGGUGGAUCAAAUAAUGUGAUGGGAUGUGUGUGAGGUGUGGUGUAUGACAUGUGGGACCCAAGGAGUGUGGGUCAUGCUCCUAGAAGGUUGCUAUAUAAUGUAGAAAAAACUAUGAAAAUUUGAAACUUAUUGAAAAUGAUCAUGGAAAAAUAUUUUUGUGCCUCCACAAUAAUUAAUAAAUGUGGGUUGUUACACACCAUAAAUAUUAUUUAUAUGGGGCUUUUGAUUAUAAUAAUGCUAGGAAUGAAUAUGACUAAUGCAAGAAUUAAUUAUGCAAGAAUUUAAAUGAUGUGGAUAAAUAUCGAUUUACCUCCCGACGAGGGUUUGGGAUUUUUAGGUCCCCCAAGCUGGACCUCCAAAUCUUUUAAUCUUCUGAAUUACCUUCCUCUGGAGAUGGUGUCUCUAGUGGUUCUUCUUCAUGAACUUCCUUCACUGUAGAGUCUCUCUCUGGUCUGGGCUUGAAUGUGAAGUGUUCUUCUUUUCCAUUUAUGUUGAACUUGAUUUCUCCCUUCCCGACAUCAAUGUGGGCAUUGGCAAUGCUCAGAAAUGGCCUUCCAAGGAUGAUAGACACUUUUGAGUUGGAACUCAUCUCCAGUACCACGAAGUCUACUGGCACAAGGAAAUCUCUGAUCUUGACUGUGACGUUUUCUGCGAUGCCAUCGGGUAUCGAACUGAUUGAUCUGCUUGUUGCAGGCACAUUGAUGUUGGUUCUAGGGUCGUAUGCACAAGUUUCUUGAAGACUGAUGCUGGCAUCACACUGACACUUGCUUCGAGAUCACAAAGUGCAUUGUUGAAGUGUUGGUUUCCAAUCGAGCAAUCAAUGGUGGGACAUCCUGGAUCCUUCUUCUUCCUUAGUGGUUUGUUGAGGAUGGCCGCACUGCAUUCUUCUAUCAGCUUGAUAACCUCAGUGGUGGGCAGUGGUCUCUUCUUGUUAAGAAUAUCUCUAAUGUACUUUGCAUAUGUGGCCACCUGUAUGGCAUCAAGCAGAGGUAUGUUGACAUAUAAUUUCUGAAUGACCUCUACAAAAUUACCAAACUGCUCAUCUGACUGCAGUCCUCUGUUUCUUCUGGCAAAUGGCAAAUAAUUGGUAUCAUAAAAAUCUUUCCUCAUUUCUCCAGCUCUUGGUGGUUGUAGCAGAUCCUCUACUUCAACUGGGCUUUCUUCUUCUAUCUCUGCUGGUUGCACUGGUGCUGAUGUUCUCUGUUUCUCUUUUGGGUAUGGGGGAUCCCUCGUGGCUUUCCCUCCUCUAGUAGUUAUGUUCUUUACCUGCUCAAUGUUAGUGGCAACAGGCAAUGCAGCAGCUAGCUUUAUUAAUUUAAGCUCUACCCUUUUAUUAAGAGUGUUCUGCUCAUCAAAGGCAGCUAAUAGAAACUCCAUUUUAUUGUGUAUAUCUUUUAGAGAUGAUUCAUUUGUAUCUAGCCUUUGUUUAACUUCAUCAUUAGUUUUAGUUUGUUGAGCAAUUAUCUCUUUUAAUGAAAGUUGCUUGAAAGUAUUACCUGAAUUCAAACCUUUGCUAUUGGGUUGACUCGAAGUGGUUUGAUAUUUGUAUACUAUCUCAAUGGCCCUUUGAUCUUCUUUGAACUUGGCCCUCUGGUCAAUCCAAUGGAGCAAUUUUUCCAUCUUGGUUGAUAGUGCAUUUACUUCUUCUGGUAUUUCUUCAGUUUGAUGACAAUGUUGAGCUUUAUCUUGGAACCUGCUUUGAUUUUCUGAUAUCUUAUCCAAAAGUAUCUCUGCUUUUCCAAUUGUAAGCUCAAAAAAUGAUACCUUAGCAUAUGCAUCUCGGCACUCACGAGCCUUUUGGGUUAAUCCAUGGUAGAAGGUUUGCAUAAGUAACCAUCUAGCCAUUCAUGGUGAGGACAAUCUGAUAUCUAUCCUUGAAAACGCUCCCAUGCUUCUAGAAUGGUUUCUGUCUUCUGCCGUUGGAAACUGACAAUAUUUCCUCUUAAGGCAGUUGUUUUGCCUAUAGGGAAAGACUUUGAUAGAAAGGCUUCUGACAAGUUCGUCCAGUUGUUGAUGUUAUCUUGAUGAGUGUAGAACCACUUCCUCGCCUUCCCUUCUACUGAGAAUGGAAAAAGGCGAAGCAGUAUGACGUCUUUGUUGACUCCGUUGAUGCGGAUUGUGCUUCCAAUCUCUAAUAAAUUCUGCAAGUGUGCACUAGCAUCUUCAUGUGCCUUUCCACUAAAUUGUGUAGCUUGUACCAAAUUGAUGAGGCUUCACUUGAGCUCGAACUCGGGUGCUCCUUCUUGUACUUCAAAUCUUGGACCAGUUGGAAUGUUCUCAAGACUUGGAGCAGAGAAUUCUCGCAAGGUCUUUUGUGCCAUAGCUUCAACAAUUGGUAGCUAGCUCCUUCUUUCUUUCUUGAUUGCUUUGGUUCUGAUGAUGAAGAGUUGAAUGUACCAAAGUCAAUCCUGAUAUACCCUGUAUAAAAAUAUAAACAUAGAAAAACAACAGGGUGAACCUGCCAAAGCAGAGGUGCCUUGUUAUGAUUUCUCAUUUAGUAGCUGUUUAUGCAAUUAUUUCUCCAUAGUAUAGUCUAAUAUUUUAUGUGAAUAACCUUGACUGACUUCCUAACUUUCCUUACCGAUUCCCUGGCAACAGCGCCAGAAAUGCUUGUUGACACUUAAUAACACCACUUGGAUACUAGGUUGUACUAAGGUAUUUAUGAAUAUGAAAGCUCUUUAGAAAAUAAUCUAUUCUAUCCGUGUGGGGGUAUAAACCCCUAUACACUUACGGCUAGACUUGGGCCAGGAGACUUGGCCCAUCAAGAAGACAGUUCGAGGCUUGAUCCAACUGCUCGGAGUUUCGUGCAAGGAAACAAGACGUGGAGAUCAAGCUAGAUUCUAGUCGGUUAGAAUAGAAACUGAUAUCGUGUUAUCUAUGGCAAUUCUAACCGAUGUUGACACUAGCUAACAGCACUUAGAUACUAGGUUGUCAUCCUCAGCAUGGUGCUAGAGUGUACAAAGGUAUUUAUAAAUGUAAAGGCUCUCUAGAAAAUAAUCUAUUCUAUCCGCAAGCACACAGAUAAAACACCUCAUUGUAGCAUUUCACCAGGAUAAGUAUUCCAGGUAUCGUUAUUUAUAAUUUUGCUUAGAAGAACAAAAGGGAUGAAAUUAAAAUAAGGACUAAAUCUAUCAAGGCAUAGACUAGAGAUAAACAUGCAAGAACAUAAUUACUAAUGAGAAACUCGUCACACAGUCACUUACUUUGGCAGGGGGUAAACCAUAAAGAUAAUGAUAAUGAAUUAUAAGUUCAUGGGUAAAUAACACAGCGAUUAGAAAAUAGACUACUCCUCAUAUAUGUAGGUGACGUCGGAUUAGCUAGAGAAUGGAUUCUAAGUUAGCUACUAUCUACUAAGUUACAAUCUACUCUAGUUAUCUACAAGAUCAUAUAUAGCGUAAAAGACUCUACAUUGCUAAAGUAAAUCAGAGCAUCAUAAGACUUACUCCGCAAUACCAAUUCUGCCUGUCCUAUCGAUGGAGGGUGGACAAUAUAAGAAUCAACGAAGCUAUCACUAUCGCGAACUACCACACGACCCGGCCCAUAGGAUACAUUUGCACGUAAAUAACAUCUAAUCACCACACCCACAUGUGAUCUACCACUUAACUCGCUCGCGUCAAGAGCUAAGGGCUUUGCAAACUUAUACAUAAACUCAUUAUCAAUCAUAACUAUAUCAAAUAUAGAACUAGAGCAAACUAAGAGCAUAAUAAAUAGAGACAUAAUGCAAUUAGAACAAAGUAUUAGAGAAAGAUAUGAAUAAUACCAAUCUUUAUUACUGAAGAUCUGAAUCCAGAGCGUAGUGCUCUACUUCUCUAAUUGCUAUCUAAUCAAUCCUCUAAACUUGAAGGAUUAGGGAGUAGCUAAUUCUAAUUCUCUGUGGGAGAGAAGUUCUAAACCCUAACUUUGAUGGAUACCUCUGAUAAUGAUUUCUCCUCUUCUCUUCUUUCCUCUAGGGGUGGAGAGGCCUUGGUUAUAUAGUCCUUUCAAGUGAAUUUGGGCCGUCUGAUCAAACUGACCUUGAUUGCAUGGUUUAGAUUCAUCCUCAAAUGCGGUGGAGCACGAUCCAAGAGUUUAGUUCGGAUUGGCCCCAAGACCAGGGCGGGCGCCCAAGGGGGGAGGGAGGGCACCCUGCCCCCGAGCCCGAUCGGUCUCCCGUUCGUUCCCGUGGCUUCUAGACUCUUCUAGAUUGAGGAAAAUUGCGCGGCACGUAAUUAUCUCGUUGUAAACAUGACAUGUGGGCCUUCUCUCCAAAUUUUCUGAUAACCCCCUACAGAAAUAGAUAAACACCGAAGCUCGUGGAAUUCUGUCAGAUAAAACCCUAAUUCUAGAUGUUUGGUGCAUAUUGAUCCUUUUCCAUGUUUAGUUGAUGGUUAAAUUUAGUACUUAAGGACCGUCAACAAACUCCCCCAUGAUUACCCUUUGCUCGUCCCUGAGCAAACAGCUAAACUCAGACGGAUCAGGAGUUGCUUCGAUGUUUUCUUUCCUGACAGGCACACAUGCUUUCAUAUAAAAUUCUUCCAGAUUAGAGUGAAGUGUCAUGGGACUUAGUACCUGCACUUAAGUCUUAUGUAAUCAAAAGACAAAAUAAUUAAGUCAAGCACUAUUGCUUCUGUAUAUACUUCACCUUUGUUCUAGAGUUUUUCAUAAGUUUUCAAAAUAAAACUUAGAGUUCCCAGCAUGAUUCUCUCAAGUCUCUCUAUAUGUGGUAUUUGUGGAUCCUUACCAAAAUGUCACUUCCCUAUAUCCAAUGGAAUAUUUAAGUGGAGCUCAUAGGAGUGAAAACAGCUCAUACAUAUGUUGUCUAAUCGAGCUAUGGAUCCAAAGGAACUCAACAUAUAAUUAAAUUAAGAUGUGCAUGUGUGGUGGAUGUUGACGGUCCUUAAGUACUAAAAUUAAUAAUCAAAUAAACAUGAAAAAGGAUCAAUAUGAAACAAACAUCUAGAAUUUGGGUUUUAUCUAACAGAAUUCCACGAGCUUUGGUGUUUAUCUAUUUCUGCAGGGGGUUAUCAGAGAAUAUGGAGAGAAGGCCCACAUGUCAUGUUUACAAUGAGAUAAUUACGUGCCGCGCAAUUUUCCUCAAUCUAGAAGAGUCCAGAAGCCACGGGAACGAACGAGAGCACGAUCGGGCUCGGGGGCAGGGCGGCCGCCCACCCCCCUUGGUCGCCCGCCCAGGGUUGGAACCCAAUCGGGACUCUGCUUCGGGACUACGCUCCACCGACCUAAAGGAUCAAUCUAAACCAUACAAUCUAUUUCGGUUUGAUCCAAUGGCUCAUGUUCACUUGAGGGGACUAUAAAACCAAGGCCAAACCCCCCUGGAGGGAGGAGAAGAGAAGAAAUCAUUAUUCAGAGGUAGCCAUCAAAGUUAGGGUUUAGAGCUUCUCUCCCACAGAGAAUUAGAAUUAGCUACUCCCUAAUCCUUCAAGUUUAGAGGUUUGAUUAGAUAGCAAUUAGACAAGUAGAGCACUACGCUCUGGAUUCGGAUCUUCGGUAAUAAAGAUUGGUAUUAUUCAUAUCUUUCUCUAAUUCUUUGUUCUAAUUGCAUUAUGUCUCUAAUUAUUAUGUUCUUAGUUUGUUCUGGUUCUAUAUUUGAUAUAGUUNNNNNNNNNNNNNNNNNNNNNNNNNNNNNNNNNNNNNNNNNNNNNNNNNNNNNNNNNNNNNNNNNNNNNNNNNNNNNNNNNNNNNNNNNNNNNNNNNNNNAAAAAGAAAAAAAAAGAGUAUCGUACUAAAGAGUAGGGAGACGGCAGGCAGCUUCAUUGUAGUAGGACGUACACGAGGUCCGCAUUUAGUUUGCAAAGCGCUUAGCUCUUGACGCGAGGGAGUUAGGUGAUAGAUCACAUGUGAGCGUGGUGCUUAGAUGUUGUUUAUCUGCAAAUGUAUCCUAUUGGCCGGGUCGUGUGGUAGUUCGCGAUAGUGACAGCUUCGUUGAUUCUUAUAUAGUCCACCCUCCGUUGAUAGGACAGGCAGAACCGGUAUUGUGGAGUAAGUCAUGCGAUGCUCUGAUUUACUUUAUCAAUGUUCCUUAUACAUGAAUGAAGAGUCUUUUAUGCUAUAUAUGAUCUUGUAGAUAACUAGAGUAGAUUAUGACUUAGUAGUUAGUAGAUAACUUAGAAUCUAUUCUCUAGCUAAUCCGACAUCACCUACAUAUAUGAGGAGUAGUCUAUUUUCUAAUCGCUGUGUUAUUUAUCCCUUGAACUUACAAUUCACUAUCAUUAUCUUUAUGGUUUACCCCCUGCUAAAGUAAGUGACUGUGUGACGAGUUUCUCAUUAGUAAUCAUGUUCUUGCAAGUUUAUCUCUAGUCUAUGCCUUGAUAGAUUUUGCCCCAUUAAUUUAAUUUCAUCUUCCUUAGAUCCCUAGAGCAAAAUUAUAAAUAACGAUACCUGGAAUACUUAUCCUGGUGAAAUCCUACAAUGAGGUGUUUUAUCUGUGCGCUUGCAGAUAGAAUAGAUUAUUUUCUAGAGAGCCUUUACAUUUAUAAAUACCUUUGUACACUCUGGCGCCAUGCUAGGGAUGACAACCUAGUAUCUAAGUGGUGUUAGCUAGUGUCAACAAGCAUUUCUAGCGCCGUUGCCGGGGAUAUUAUACGAGUCUCAGGAAUAAGUCAUAGAGGGGAACAAAAGGGUAAUACUUAGGAAUGGUAAGGAAAGCCAGAAAAUCAAUCAAGGUUAUUCAUAUAAAAUUUUAGACUAGACUAUAGAGAAAUAAUUGCAUAAAACAGCUACUAAGUGAGAAAUCAUAACCAGACACCUCUGCUUUGGCAGGUUCACCCUGUUGUUUUUCUAUGUUUACAUUUUUAUACAGGGUAUAUCAGGAUUGACUUUGGGUACAUUCAACUCUUCAUCAUCAGAACCAAAGCAAUCAAGAGAAGAAGAAGCUAGCUACCAAUUGCUGAAGCUAUGGCACAGAAGACCCUACAAGAAUUCUCUGCUCCAAGUCUUGACAACAUUCCAACUGGUCCAAGAUUGGCAGUAGAAGAAGGAAUACCUGAGUUUGAGCUCAAGUCAAGCCUCAUCAAUUUGGUACAAGCUAUACAAUUCAGUGGAAAGGCACAUGAAGAUGCUAGUGCACACUUGCAGAAUUUCUUAGAGAUUGGAAGCACAAUCCACAUCAACGGAGUUGACAAAGACGUCAUACUACUUCACCUUUUUCCAUUCUCACUAGAAGGGAAAGCGAGGAAGUGGUUUUACACUCAUCAAGAUAACAUCAACAACUGGACGAACUUGUCAGAUGCCUUUCUAUCAAAAUUUUUCCCUAUAGGCAAAACAACUGCCUUAAGAGGAAAUAUUGUCAGUUUCCAACAGCAGAAGACAGAAGCCAUUUGAGAAGCAUGGGAGCGUUUUCAAGGAUACAUAUCAGAUUGUCCUCACCAUGGAAUAGCCACAUGGUUACUUAUGCAGACCUUCUACCAUGGAUUAACCCAGAAGGCUCGUGAGUGCCUAGAUGCAUCUGCGAAAGGAUCAUUCUUGGAGCUUACAAUUGGAAAAGCAGAGAUACUUUUGGAGAAGAUAGCAGAAAACCAAAGCUGGUUCCAAGAUAAAGCUCAACAAUGUCAUCAAACUGAAGAAAUACCAGAAGAAGUAAAUGCAUUAUCAACUAAGAUGGAAAAUUUGCUCCAUUGGAUUGACCAGAGGGCCAAGUUCAAAGAAGAUCAAAGGGCCAUUGAGACAACAUACAAAUAUCAACCAACUUCGAGUCAACCCAAUAGCAAAGGUAUGAAUUCAGGUAAUACUUUCAAGCAACUUUCAUUAAAAGAGAUAAUUGCUCAACAAACCAAAAUUAAUGAUGAAGUUAAAUAAAGGCUAGAUACAAAUGAAUCAUCUCUAAAAGAUAUACAUAAUAAAAUGGAUUUUCUACUAACUGCCUUUGAUGAGCAAAACUCUCUUAAUAAAAGGGCAGAGCUUAAAUUAAUAAAGAUAGCUGCUGCACUGCCUGUUGCUACUAACCUUGAGCAGGUAAAGAAUAUAACUACUAGAGGAGGCAAAGUUACGAGAGAUCCCCCAUACCCAAAAGAGAAACAAAGAACAUCAGCACUAGUGCAACCAGAAGUGAUAGAAGAAGAAAGCCCAGCUGAAGCAGAAGAUCUGCUACAACCACCAAGAACUGGAGAAAUGAGGAAAGAUUUUUACGACACCAACUAUUUGCCAUUUCCCAGAAGAAAUAGAGGACUGCAGUCGGAUGAGCAGUUUGGUAAGUUUGUAGAGGUCAUUCAGAAAUUAUAUGUCAACAUACCUCUGCUCGAUGCCAUAUAGGUACCUACAUAUGCAAAGUACAUCAGAGAUAUUCUUAACAAGAAGAGACCACUGCCCACCACUGAGGUUAUCAAGCUGACAGAAGAAUGUAGUGCGGCCAUCCUCAAUAAGCCACCAAGGAAGAAGGAAGAUCCAGGAUGCCCCACUAUUGAUUGCUCGAUCGGAAUCCAACACUUCAACAAUGCACUUUGUGAUCUCGGAGCAAGUGUCAGUGUGAUGCCAGCAUCAGUCUACAAAAAGCUUGAGCAUGCGACCCUAGAACCAACAUCAAUGUGCCUACAACUAGCGGAUCAAUCGGUUCGACACCCGUUGGGCAUCGCCGAGAACAUUCCAGUCAAGAUCAGAGAUUUCCUGGUGCCAGUAAACUUCGUAGUACUGGACAUGAGUCCUGACUCAAAAGUGUCCAUCAUCCUUGGAAGGCCAUUUCUGAGCACUGCCAAUGCCCACAUUGAUGUCGGGAAAGGAGAAAUCAAGUUCAACAUAAACGGACAAGAAGAAGACUUCACAUUCAAACCCAGACCAGAGAGAGACUCUACAGUGAAGGAAGUUCAUGAAGAACCACUGGAGACACCAUCUCCAGAGGAAGGUAACUCAGAAGAUUAAAAGAUUUGGAGGUCCAGCUUGGGGGACCUAAAAAUCCCAAACCCUCACCGGGAGGUAAAUCGGUAUUUAUCCGCAUUAUUAAUUUUAUCAUAUUUAAUUCUUGCAUAAUUAAAUCUUGCAUUAGUCACAUUUAUUCAUAGCAUUAUUAUAAUAAUCAAAAGCCCCAUAUAAAUAAUAUUCAUGGUGUGUAACAACCCAUAUUUAUUAAUUAUUGUGAAGGCACAAAAAUAUUUUCCAUUAUCAUUUUAAUUAAGUUUCAAUUCUCAUAGAUUUUCUUGCAUUAUAUUUAAUAGUAACCUUCUAGAAGCAUGACCCACACUCCUUGGGUCCCACAUGUCAUACACCACACCUCACAUACAUCCCAUCACAUAAUUUCAUCCACCAAUAUGUUUCCACUCACCAGACAUCUUUCCACCAUCCAACAACCACCACACAACAUUAUUCUGCGUGAGAUCAAAGCAAGGAAGCAAGUGGGGGAGGCACACCCAGGAUGGACACCAAGAGUGGGUGCCCGCCCUGCUCCCUCUUCCUCCUAUAAAUAGCCACCUUCUACCUCCAUCCUCUCCACACAAGCACUCCAGAAAAAUUACACAAGUAUCAGUUUCCAGAAAGAGCUCUGGUAGUGAAGAGAGAAGAGAGUAGAGAAAAGAGUGGCAAAGAAGUUGAUAGAGAGUGAGUAUCACCUAGUAAGUAGUGAUCCCGCUGUCUAAGCGGAAGUAAAAGUUGUUUAGGGGGAGGCUCUACCAAAAUAGAAACUUGUCUUGAACGAUUAACCCCUAGACUACUGACAUUCUGGACAGCUGACCACUAACAUUUUCUCUCACAUUUUCCACUAGUUGUGUUUUCGCCAACUUUUGUUUGCAGGAUGUUUAAGAUGGUGAAGAAUGCAGGGAAGGCUCUCAAGAACAUUGGUACAAGGAGUUCAGCUCGACACUCCUCACAACCAUUAGAGAUGAGCGUCGACCCGACACCCACACAAGCUCCGUCAUCUUCAUCAGGUCAGCAAGUUAAGGUCCUUCUCAAGAUAGGAGACCUUGGACUGAAGACCCAAAGAGAGAAGGAAGUCUAUCAGCAAUUGAAGAACAAAGAUUUUAUUCACACCCCUACUCUUGAUCCAAUCUUGCUACAAGAAACAGGUAUGGACACUGAAUUUGACUUAAUUUUCUAGAUGUUAGGUUGGACAAAUUUUUGGAAAAUAACUGAGCUAGGUUCUCGUCUUCUCACCCUCGAAUUUCUUUGCACCUUACAAUAUUAUGGGGGGGGAAUUGUUUUUCGGAUGCUCAAACAGGAAAUUAUGUUGUCUUGGAGAGAGCUGAGUGACCAUCUUGGUUUCUCUUCAAGAUGCAUCCUGAACAUUGACUCCGAUUUACCUAACUUUGAGAGACACCAGUUUUGGAGUGAAAUAUCUAGAGAUAAUUUUUAUAGUCAAGCCCGAACCAGUGACAUGGAACACCCCACUCUUAGGAUGUUCCACAAAUGGCUUGGGUAUAAUCUUUUCUAUCGUGAUGAUAUUAGGAAAGUGAGAGUAGGAGAUUUACAACUUUUAUAUGCUGCUAUUAGUAAAGUACCCACUUCACCUGUUACACUAUUUGUUUCUCAUUGGCUUAGUAUACCUAGUCUUCAGGGACCAGUAGGAUGUACUUCACUUAUCACUCGUCUAGCCAUUAAUCUUCACUUACUAGAAAACUCGUCAUUGGACUUCAUAGAUGAGUUAAGAAUUUACCAUGGCUAUGACACAUUUAGACAAGCUCGGAUGUUAAAGAAAGAGGGGAAUAUAAUAUAUAUGCUAUAUGAUGAUAGAGGCAAGAUUCGGUUACCUAACCCGAACCUUGGCCUAUACGUUGUCCAAAAUUUUUUGAUUGAGAUUGUAGCAACACCAGUGAACCAGAGAGCUCCACAGCGAGUGGCAUCUGAAAGGAUGACCACCCAUCGAGAACGCACCUGGUAUGGAGCUGACCCUGGACCAGAAGAAGCAGCACACCUGCAUUAUUGCGAUUACAACCCUCGAGUCCUUCGAGACCCAUGGGUUCGUCAUGCGCAACCACAAGAGCCAACAGAGGAGACAUGGCCGGAGAGCCAAGAUCACCAGUGGACAAACCCGCCUUUCCAUACGGGCAGGUACUCCACUGAUCCAUAUGGAGCUUCAGGAUCCAGACCUCUGCCCCAAUUUGAUGCAGGACGAUACUCCGAUGCCUCCUACGCCUUCACGAAUGACCACUAUCAAGAGGCCGGUGCUUUCUGCACUCGUGCCGACAACACUCUCCUCGACAUCCAGAACACGCAAGCAGAACAUGGAAGACUCCUGGAAGAGCAACAAAAAUGGAACCAGGACCAUGCCGCUGCAGUAGAAGAGCUGAGACAAGAUACAACAACAAUGAAGGACAACAUCACAACUAUGAUGCGGUUCUGGAACAUCGGGUAAGACCGAUGUCAACAUCCAGCUUGGGGGAGUUCCUCCCCAAUUUAUCAAGUAAGUUUUUAUUUGCUCUUCUUAUUUAUUCUUUUCUAUUUUAGUAUUUUAUCUUAAAAGGAAAAACUUAGAAAACCCAGUAAAUAUUUUCUUACUUUAAUUUACUGCAUUUUAUAAACAUGAAAACAAAAUAAAAAGAGUGUGCUUUAUUUCCCUGCCAAGUUUAAUCUCUAGAAAAAUAAAAGACCAAAAAGAUACAUGAUGGAAAUAAUGAAUAGUUGCUCUGUUUGCUUUCAAUACCUAGCUUUUAUAUUAGAGUUCUUCCAGGAAUUACUGAAACUGAAUUUACUGUCUUUGGGAAGCAUAAAACUAAAGUCAAGGUAAGAGAAAGGCAUAAUAUAAAGUUUGAGUUGCUGUUUAUCUUGUUCCUACUACACUAAGUUCUGGAGAUUUAUUUUGAAAACUUACAAAUCACAUGAUGAGAUCCUACCAUAACAAAACUACCUACCACAGCCAUACUUGCUAUAACAUCUUUUACUAUAUUUACAUUGACUUUGAUCGAGCUGUGUAGACCCUUAGGAGCUUUUUAUGUGGUUAAAUUAAGAUAUUCACUUGCACACAUCUACCAUAGCAUUCAUCACCAUUCAUUAAAAUUGCUAAAAAUAUUAUCACUCACUGUCCCAAAUAUUGUUAUCCUCUUUCUCUAAAAAGAUUCAAUGCAUAAGAGGCAUGGGUUAUGCAAAAAUAUGCGAGGAAAUAAAAAGGGGCAAGUGCCCAGAACCUCGAAAAAGAAAGAAAAAAGAGUGAGACGAGAGGUAAAAAUGGACAAGUGUCCGAAGUAGAAUUAGGGGUACAAAGAUGCCCACUUGAGCGGAAAAAAUGGACAAGUGUCCGACAGUAGAAUUAGGGGUAUCUACUACCCACCUGAAAAAAAAAGAGAUAGCCCAUGUUCUCCCAAAGCAAAGAUCAGAGAAGAGGAGAGAUAGCAAUAUGAGGAGCAAUGAGAAAUAAGUUUUAUUAUCACUUAUAUAUUUUUCACCAUCACUAUCAUUUACUCCAUCACACAUGCACAUCUUGAUUUAAUUAUAUGCUGAGUUCCUUUGGAUCCAUAGCUCGAUUAGACAACAUAUGUAUGAGCUGUUUUUCACUCCUAUGAGCUCCACUUAAAUAUUCCAUUAGGUAUAGGUAAGUGAUAUUUUGGUAAGGAUCCACAAAUACCACAUAUAGAGAGACUUGAGAGAUCAUUGCUGGGAACUCUGAGUUUUAUUUUGAAAACUUAUGAAAAACUCUAGAACAAAGGUGAAGUAUAGACACGAGAAAUAGUGCUUGACUUUAUUAUUUUGUCUUUCGAUUACUUAAGAUUUAAGUACAGGUACUAAACUCCAUAACACUUCACUCUAAUCUGGAAGAAUUUUAUGUAAAAGCAUGUGUGCCUAUCAGGAAAGAAAACAUCGAAGCAACUUCUGAUUCGUCUAAGUUUAGCUAUUUGCUUAGGGACGGGCAAAGGGUAAGCUUGGGGGAGUUUGUUGACGGUCCUUAAGUACUAAAAUUAAUAAUCAAAUAAACAUGAAAAAGGAUCAAUAUGAAACAAACAUCUAGAAUUAGGGUUUUAUCUCACAGAAUUCCACGAGCUUUGGUGUUUAUCUAUUUCUGUAGGGGGUUAUCAGAGAAUAUGGAGAGAAGGCCAACAUGUCAUGUUUACAACGAGAUAAUUACGUGCCGCGCAAUUUUCCUCAAUCCAGAAGAGUCCAGAAGCCACGGGAACGAACGAGAGCACGAUCGGGCUCGGGGGCAGGGCGGCCGCCCACCCCCCUUGGGCGCCCGCCCAGGGUUGGAACCCAAUCGGGACUCUGCUUCGGGACUACGCUCCACCGACCUAAAGGAUCAAUCUAAACCAUACAAUCUAUGUCGGUUUGAUCCAAUGGCUCAUGUUCACUUGAGGGGACUAUAAAACCAAGGCCAAACCCCCCUGGAGGGAGGAGAAGAGAAGAAAUCAUUAUUCAGAGGUAGCCAUCAAAGUUAGGGUUUAGAGCAUCUCUCCCACAGAAAAUUAGAAUUAGCUACUCCCUAAUCCUUCAAGUUUAGAGGUUUGAUUAGAUAGCAAUUAGAGAAGUAGAGCACUACGCUCUGGAUUCGGAUCUUCGGUAAUAAAGAUUGGUAUUAUUCAUAUCUUUCUCUAAUUCUUUGUUCUAAUUGCAUUAUGUCUCUAAUUAUUAUGUUCUUAGUUUGUUCUAGUUCUAUAUUUGAUAUAGUUCUAAAUGAUAAUGAGUUUAUGUAUAAGUUUGCAAAGCGCUUAGCUCUUGUCGCGAGGGAGUUAGGUGAUAGAUCACAUGUGAGCGUGGUGCUUAGAUGUUGUUUAUCUGCAAAUGUAUCCUAUUGGCCGGGUCGUCUGGUAGUUCGCGAUAGUGAUAGCUUCGUUGAUUCUUAUAUAGUCCACCCUCCGUUGAUAGGACAGGCAGAACCGGUAUUGUGGAGUAAGUCAUGCGAUGCUCUGAUUUACUUUAUCAAUGUUCCUUAUACAUGAAUGAAGAGUCUUUUAUACUAUAUAUGAUCUUGUAGAUAACUAGAGUAGAUUAUGACUUAGUAGUUAGUAGAUAACUUAGAAUCCAUUCUCUAGCUAAUCCGACAUCACCUACAUAUAUGAGGAGUAGUCUAUUUUCUAAUCGCUGUGUUAUUUAUCCCUUGAACUUACAAUUCAUUAUCAUUAUCUUUAUGGUUUACCCCCUGCUAAAGUAAGUGACUGUGUGACGAGUUUCUCAUUAGUAAUCAUGUUCUUGCAAGUUUAUCUCUAGUCUAUGACUUGAUAGAUUUUGCCCCCUUAAUUUAAUUUCAUCUUCCUUAGAUCCCUAGAGCAAAAUUAUAAAUAACGAUACCUGGAAUACUUAUCCUAGUGAAAUGCUACAAUGAGGUGUUUUAUCUGUGCGCUUGCGGAUAGAAUAGAUUAUUUUCUAGAGAGCCUUUACAUUUAUAAAUACCUUUGUACACUCUGGCGCCAUGCUAGGGAUGACAACCUAGUAUUUAAGUGGUGUUAGCUAGUGUCAACAGUGGAGGAAAUGAUAGUGAUGGUAAAAAAAAUGUAUAAGUGAUAAUAAAACUUACUUCUCAUUGCUCCUCAUAUUGCUACCUCUCCUCUUCUUUGAUCUUUGCUUUGGGAGAAUAUGGGCUAUCUCUCUUUUUUUCAGGUGGGUAGUAGAUACCCCUAAUUCUACUGUCGGAUACUUGUCCAUUUUUUCCGCUCAAGUGGGCAUCUUUGUACCCCUAAUUCUACUCCGGACACUUGUCCAUUUUUACCUCUCGUCUCACUCUUUUUCUUUCUUUUCCGAGGUUCCGGGCACUUCCCCCUUUUUAUUUCCUCGCAUAUUUUUGCAUAACCCAUGCCUCUUCUACAUUGAAUCUUUUUAGAGAGAGAGAAUAACAAUACUUCGGACAGUGAGUGAUAAUAAUAUUUUUUUUAGCAAUUUUAAUGAAUGGUGGUGGAUGGUGUAGUAGAUGUGUGCAAGUGAAUAUCUUAAUUUAACCACAUGAAAAGCUCCUAAGGGUCUACACAGCU